rnacentral:rRNA from 1 species
CCUACGGGUGGCAGCAGUCGAGAAUCAUUCACAAUGGGGGAAACCCUGAUGGUGCGACGCCGCGUGGGGGAAUGAAGGUCUUCGGAUUGUAAACCCCUGUCAUGUGGGAGCAAAUUAAAAAGAUAGUACCACAAGAGGAAGAGACGGCUAACUCUGUGCCAGCAGCUGCGGUAAUACAGAGGUCUCAAGCGUUGUUCGGAAUCACUGGGCGUAAAGCGUGCGUAGGCUGUUUCGUAAGUCGUGUGUGAAAGGCGGGGGCUCAACCCGCGGACGGCACAUGAUACUGCGAGACUAGAGUAAUGGAGGGGGGACCGGAAUUCUCGGUGUAGCAGUGAAAUGCGUAGAUAUCGAGAGGAACACUCGUGGCGAAGGCGGGUUCCUGGACAUUAACUGACGCUGAGGCACGAAGGCCAGGGGAGCGAAAGGGAUUAGAUACCCCUGUAGUC